rnacentral:rRNA from 1 species
GUCUACAGCCAUGCUACUCUGAACAAGCCCGAUCCCGUCUGAUCUCGGAAGCUAAGCAGGGUCGGGCCUGGUUAGUACUUGGAUGGGAGAUCACCUAGGAAGACCAGGUGCUGUAGGCA